rnacentral:rRNA from 1 species
GACGAACGCUGGCGGCGUGCUUAACACAUGCAAGUCGAACGGAAAGGCCCUGCUUUUGUGGGGUGCUCGAGUGGCGAACGGGUGAGCAACACGUGAGUAACCUGCCCUUGACUUUGGGAUAACUUCAGGAAACUGGGGCUAAUACCGGAUAGGAGCUCCUGCUGCAUGGUGGGGGUUGGAAAGUUUCGGCGGUUGGGGAUGGACUCGCGGCUUAUCAGCUUGUUGGUGGGGUAGUGGAUUACCAAGGCUUUGACGGGUAGCCGGCCUGAGAGGGUGACCGGCCACAUUGGGACUGAGAUAGGGCCCAGACUCCUACGGGAGGCAGCAGUGGGGAAUAUUGCACAAUGGGCGGAAGCCUGAUGCAGCAACGCCGCGUGCGGGAUGACGGCCUUCGGGUUGAAAACCGCUUUCGCCUGUGACGAAGCGUGAGUGACGGUAAUGGGUAAAGAAGCACCGGCUAACUACGUG